UGGCUGAGUGGUAAAGCGUUUGGCUUCCAAACAGAUGGUCACAGGUUCGAAUCCUGGU
rnacentral:tRNA from 1 species